UACAGAGGGUGCGAGCGUUAAUCGGAAUUACUGGGCGUAAAGCGCACGUAGGUGGCUAUGUAAGUCGGGUGUGAAAGCCCUGGGCUUAACCUGGGAAUUGCAGUCGAUACUACUCGGCUAGAGUAUGGGAGAGGGCAGUGGAAUUCCCGGUGUAGCGGUGAAAUGCGUAGAUAUCGGGAGGAACAUCAGUGGCGAAGGCGGCUGCCUGGCCCAAUACUGACACUCAGGUGCGACAGCGUGGGGAGCAAACAGG
rnacentral:rRNA from 1 species